ACAGUUUGAUCAUGGCUCAUGAUGAACGCUAGCGGGAGGCUUAACACAUGCAAGUCGAGGGGUAAAUGGCAGCAAUGCUAUGACACCGGCGGACGGGUGCGUAGCGCGUAUGCAACAUACCUUGUGCAGGGGGAUAGCCCGUGGAAACGCGGAUUAAUAUUCCAUAGUCCAGCUAUAUCGCAUGGUAUAAUUGGUAAAGAUUUAUCGGCACAACUUUGGCAUGCGUCUGAUUAUCUUGUUGGUAGGGUAACGGCCUACCAAGGCUACUAUCAGUAGGGGUUCUGAGAGGAUUAACCCCCACACUGGUACUGAGACACGGACCAGACUCCUACGGGAGGCAGCAGUGAGGAAUAUUGGUCAAUGGGCGGAAGCCUGAACCAGCCAUCCCGCGUGAAGGAAGACAGCCUUACGGGUUGUAAACUUCUUUUCUGUCAGAAGAAUAAGCUUGUCGAGACGAGUGAUGCCGGUAUGACAGGAAUAAGCAUCGGCUAACUCCGUGCCAGCAGCCGCGGUAAUACGGAGGAUGCAAGCGUUAUCCGGAUUUAUUGGGUUUAAAGGGUGCGCAGGUUGUUUGAUAAGUCAGUGGUGAAAGUCUGUCGCUUAACGGUAGGAUUGCCAUUGAUACUGUUGGACUUGAAUAUGGAUGAGGUAGGCGGAAUGUGUAGUGUAGCGGUGAAAUGCAUAGAUAUUACACAGAACACCGAUUGCGAAGGCAGCUUACUAAUCCAUCAUUGACGCUGAGGCACGAAAGCGUGCGGAUCAAACAGGAUUAGAUACCCUGGUAGUCCACGCCGUAAACGAUGAUCACUCGCUGUUUGCGAUAUACAGUAAGCGGCUAAGCGAAAGCGAUAAGUGAUCCACCUGCGGAGUACGAUCGCAAGGUUGAAACUCAUAUGAAUUGACCG
rnacentral:rRNA from 1 species